GUCCUACGGGAGGCAGCAGUAGGGAAUCUUCCACAAUGGACGAAAGUCUGAUGGAGCAACGCCGCGUGAGUGAAGAAGUAUUUCGGUAUGUAAACUUCUAUCAGCAGGGAAGAAAAUGACGGUACCUGACUAAGAAGCCCCGGCUAACUACGUGCCAGCAGCCGCGGUAAUACGUAUGGGGCAAGCGUUAUCCGGAUUUACUGGGUGUAAAGGGAGCGUAGACGGCUGUGCAAGCCUGAAGUGAAAGGCGGGGGCCCAACCCCUGGACUGCUUUGGGAACUGUACGGCUGGAGUGCAGGAGAGGG
rnacentral:rRNA from 1 species